rnacentral:lncRNA from 1 species
UUUCCCCCUUUGCUUGGCACUUCUCUCUUCUGCUGCCAUGUGAAGAAGGAUGUGUUUGCUUCCCCUUCUGCUAUGAUUGUACGUCUCCUGAGGCCUCCGCAGUCAUGCAGAACUCAGCAGCCAACGGACCAAGGCACUUAGCUCAUAAGAGAUGAGUAUGACCCUGUCCGAAUCACCUGGGGACGUCCCAUGAAGCUGUUAGGAGAGAGAAGUAUUUGCUUUUUGCCCCUGGACUUGAAUCUGGGAGGAUCCAGGGUGUAGCUGCCAAUAGGCAAAGUGCAACACAAGGGGUCAGCACUGACUGAACCAGAGGCAAAGCCUGGAGACACUGGAUCCUAGUGAGUCAGGGGACUGUAUCCACCUGCAGCUACCAACGUGCCACGUGGGCUUGUAGAUGGGCAGCAGCCAAUGAAGUUAUUCCGUUCUUCCCUACACCAAUUUUGAGGUGCUUUUUGCUGUUGUUGUUGUCUUCCCCAGUUGCUUGCAGCUAUUAGGGCCCAAAAUGAUCUAGGUGUUAUCAAAAAUCCUAGCUUGUAUAUGAAAGUGUCAACACGUGUUUUCUGGUGUGUAUCUGUCUGGGUGUGCGUUCCCAUAAGACAGUGAGUGUACUUUGUUCUGAUCAUAUUUGCAUCUUUGCUGUUCCAGAGAUAGUACCUAAUAAAUGGCUAAUGAGGAAGUGAAUUACUGAAAUGUCUUUAAUGUAG